rnacentral:rRNA from 1 species
AUUGAACGCUGGCGGCAGGCUUAACACAUGCAAGUCGAGCGAGCGGCGGACGGGUGAGUAAUGUCUGGGAAACUGCCUGAUGGGGGGGGCUAACUACUGGAAACGGUAGCUAAUCCCGCAUACCAUCAGAUGAUCCCAGAAGGGAUUAGCUAGUAGGUGGGGUAAAGGCUCACCUAGGCGACGAUACCUAGCUGGUCUGAGAGGAUGACCAGCCACACGGGAACGGAGACACGGGCCAGAGUCCUACGGGAGGAAGCAGGGGGGAUGAUUGCACAAUGGGCGAAAGCCUGAUGCAGCAAUGCGGCGUGUAUGAAGAGGGUCUUCGGGUUGUAAAGUACGUUCAGCGGGGAGGCGGUACCCGCAGAGGAAGCAACGGCGAACUCCGUGCCAGCAGCCGCGGUAAUUC